rnacentral:rRNA from 1 species
UCUUGGUCAUUUAGAGGAAUUAAAAGUCGUAACAAGGUUGUCGGUAGAGUGGUCUUUCGGAAGGAGUCAGCAUAUCAGUAAGCGGAGGAGCAUGAUGUGGCAUGAUUUUUCAUAUUGUGAAGUGGAGGAGGGGGGUGGGAGAGAAAAUUUAUUUUCAAUCCCCGCCGCCCGGGUGGGAUGAAUCAGUUCCCUUUGGGGGGCCGAGGAUUGCGCCUAAUUAUUUGACUAUUCUGACUGAUCAAACAAUUGAAAUUGUUAACAUAUGAACAACUUUCAUCAAUGAAUCUCUCGGAUUUCGUAUCAAUGAAAAACGCAGCGAAUCCCGAUAUGUAUGGUGAUCUGCCUUUAUGGAAUCAUCAAAUUUUUGAGCGCAUCUUGGGCCCCUGGGUAUUCCUGGGGGUACUCCUGUUUCACUUUCAUUAUUACCUCUCCUCUACUUGAGGGGAAACAUAACUACUGGCCCUGACUCCCCUUUUAGGGGGCUUCACGGCUAAAAUGCUCGGUUAUUCUUGGCUGAUGACAAACCUUUUGGUAAGAUUUAUCCUACUAAAAAGACACGUCUUCCUCCAAGAAAUGGACCUGCCCGUAGACUUCUAUGGAUACCCCUACGCCCUUGAUCUAGGACUCACGCGAGAUGGUGGCCGCUAGAACUAAGAAAUAUCAAUAAGCGGAGGA